UACGGAGGGUGCGAGCGUUGUCCGGAAUCACUGGGCGUAAAGGGCGCGUAGGUGGCGCGGGCAGUCAACGGUGAAAGUUCGGGGCUCAACCCUGAAUCGGCCGUCGAUACUCCCGGGCUGGAGCACUGUAGAGGCUAAUGGAAUUCCGGGUGUAGCGGUGGAAUGCGUAGAGAUCCGGAAGAACACCGGUGGCGAAGGCGGUUAGCUGGGCAGUUGCUGGACACUGAGGCGCGACAGCGUGGGGAGC
rnacentral:rRNA from 1 species